AGUGAACGCUGGCGGCAGGCCUAACACAUGCAAGUCGAGCGGCAGCGGGAAAGUAGCUUGCUACUUUUGCCGGCGAGCGGCGGACGGGUGAGUAAUGCCUGGGGAUCUGCCCAGUCGAGGGGGAUAACUACUGGAAACGGUAGCUAAUACCGCAUACGCCCUACGGGGGAAAGCAGGGGACCUUCGGGCCUUGCGCGAUUGGAUGAACCCCGGUGGGAUUAGCUAGUUGGUGAGGUAACGGCUCACCAAGGCGACGAUCCCUAGCUGGUCUGGGAGGAUGAUCAGCCACACUGGAACUGAGACACGGUCCAGACUCCUACGGGAGGCAGCAGUGGGGAAUAUUGCACAAUGGGGGAAACCCUGAGGCAGCCAUGCCGCGUGUGUGAAGAAGGCCUUCGGGUUGUAAAGCACUUUCAGCGAGGAGGAAAGGUCAGUAGCUAAUAUCUGCUGGCUGUGACGUUACUCGCAGAAGAAGCACCGGCUAACUCCGUGCCAGCCGCCGCAGUAA
rnacentral:rRNA from 1 species